rnacentral:tRNA from 1 species
UAGCUCAGUUAGUAGAGCAUGAGACUCUUAGUCUCAGGAUUGUGGGUUUGAGCCCCAU